rnacentral:pre_miRNA from 1 species
AAUAAACGAAUUUCUAUGUUUUUGUUUAGAAUUUUUAACUCUUCGUCUUAUUUGAAAAAUUUUAAUGAUUAAUAUUUUUAUUGUUACUAUAUGAUAAAACAUAAAUAGUACUUUACGUGUGACUAAUUUUUUUAAUUUUUUAAUAAAAUUUUUCAAAUAAGACGGAUGGUCAAACGCACGACUAAAAAAACCCAG